rnacentral:rRNA from 1 species
AUUGAACGCUGGCGGCAGGCCUAACACAUGCAAGUCGAGCGGAGCGGCGGACGGGUGAGUAAUGCCUAGGAAUCUGCCUGGUAGUGGGGGAUAACGUCCGGAAACGGGCGCUAAUACCGCAUACUAUCAGAUGAGCCUAGGUCGGAUUAGCUAGUUGGUGGGGUAAAGGCCUACCCAGUCGACGCUCCGUAACUGGUCUGAGAGGAUGAUCAGUCACACUGGAACUGAGACACGGUCCAGACUCCUACGGGAGGCAGCAGGGGGGAAGAGUGCACAAUGGGCGCAAGCCUGAUGCAGCCAUGCCGGUUGUAUGAAGAGGGCCUUCGGGUUGUAAAGUACUUUCAGUCGGGAGGCGUUACCGACAGAAGAAGCACCGGCUAACUCCGGGCCAGCCGCCGCGGUAAUAC